AGGUUGGAGAGUCCAGCAUCAAGGCUGACAGCAAAUCUAGUGUCUGGAGCGAACUUUCUUCCUGGUUUGCAGAUGGUUGGCCACCUUCUUGCUAUAUCAUCACAUGACGAAAGCUUCUUCAUCCUUGGCCACCUGGAGUGUGUCUCUCUGCCUGUCCCUUCUGUGACCGGUGGAGAAAAGACUCUGCUUUUGAAGCACUCAUAUGAUGAGAAAGCUGUUUAAAGCUGCUUGCUAAUGGAAAC